CAGUAGCCGCGGUAAUACGAGGGGUGCAAGCGUUAAUCGGAAUUACUGGGCGUAAAGCGUGCGUAGGCGGUGAGUUAAGUCUGCUGUGAAAUCCCCGGGCGCAACCUGGGAAUGGCAGUGGAUACUGGCUCGCUAGAGUGUGUCAGAGGAUGGUGGAAUUCCCGGUGUAGCGGUGAAAUGCGUAGAGAUCGGGAGGAACAUCAGUGGCGAAGGCGGCCAUCUGGGACAACACUGACGCUGAGGCACGAAAGCGUGGGGAGCAAACAGGAUUAGAGACCCGAGUAGUCCCUGUCCUUAUACA
rnacentral:rRNA from 1 species